rnacentral:piRNA from 1 species
UGAGAAAAAAAUUCAUUUGCUAUUAUGUAC